AAUCAACGCUGGCGGCGUGCCUAACACAUGCAAGUCGCACGAGAAAGGGACUUCGGUCCUGAGUACAGUGGCGCACGGGUGAGUAACACGUGACUAACCUACCUCCGAGUGGGGAAUAACCUAGAGAAAUCUGGGCUAAUACCGCAUAACACUUACGAGUCAAAGCAGCAAUGCGCUUGGAGAGGGGGUCGCGGCAGAUUAGUUAGUUGGCAGGGUAAUGGCCUACCAAGACGAUGAUCUGUAUCCGGCCUGAGAGGGCGCACGGACACACUGGAACUGAAACACGGUCCAGACUCCUACGGGAGGCAGCAGUGGGGAAUUUUGCGCAAUGGGGGAAACCCUGACGCAGCAACGCCGCGUGGAGGAUGAAAUCCCUUGGGAUGUAAACUCCUUUCGAUCGGGAAGAUAAUGACGGUACCGAGAGAAGAAGCCCCGGCUAACUUCGUGCCAGCCGCCGCGGU
rnacentral:rRNA from 1 species